rnacentral:misc_RNA from 1 species
AUAAAGUGAUAGAGGUUUGUUAUGUAUAACCUGAUCCUUUGAAGCAUACGACGUAGCUUCGGAGAGAGCUCUCACCAGAGACAUAACUUUAGGAUCGCCUUGAAGCUUAGAGAGAUGAGACUCGAAUUCGACAGCGAAGCAUUGAAUCUUCGAUUGGAGAUUCGCUAUUUCGAUUAUGUCUUUGGCGAUUUCAUCAAUUGUUGAAGACGUUUCAGUGUCGUAGAGAAACUCGCCGUCGCCGUCGCUGCCGCCGCCGUGCUUCACAUGUAUGCGCACCAUCUUCGAAGCCUUAG